rnacentral:lncRNA from 1 species
AUCACGAUCUUCUCACUGGCUUGUGGAAAGAUCCCCAUGAAAAGGAUUUUCGUAAUCUGAAAACUCUCCAUCAAAUCUACGAUCAUCAAGUUCUGCCUCAGAUCUCGCAUCCCGGAUUUCUAACUGCAUAAGAUGCAUAAUCAGAUCCGCCACUCGUCUUCUUAAAUCUUCGCACUCCAACAUUAGGUCCCGUUCCCAUUGUGUGAUUUCUUCAUGGGCUGCUGCUUGAUUCAUAGAUUGGUUCUUCUUGCGAUCAUCCCAUUAU